UACAGAGGUCCCGAGCGUUGUUCGGAUUCAUUGGGCGUAAAGGGUGCGUAGGCGGCGGGGCAAGUCUGAUGUGAAAUCCCGGGGCUCAACCCCGGAACUGCAUUGGAUACUGCCUUGCUUGAGUACUGGAGAGGAGACUGGAAUUUACGGUGAGCAGUGAAAUGCGUAGAUAUCGUAAGGAAGGCCAGUGGCGAAGGCGAGUCUCUGGACAGUUACUGACGCUGAGGCACGAAGGCCAGGGGAGCAAACGGG
rnacentral:rRNA from 1 species